UACGAAGGGGGCUAGCGUUGCUCGGAAUCACUGGGCGUAAAGGGUGCGUAGGCGGGUCUUUAAGUCAGGGGUGAAAUCCUGGAGCUCAACUCCAGAACUGCCUUUGAUACUGAAGAUCUUGAGUGCGGGAGAGGUGAGUGGAACUGCGAGUGUAGAGGUGAAAUUCGUAGAUAUUCGCAAGAACACCAGUGGCGAAGGCGGCUCAACUGGCCCGAUACUGACGCUGAGGCACGAAAGCGUGGGAGCAACAGGG
rnacentral:rRNA from 1 species